AGCAUGUCAAGGCUGAAGUGUGCACUUCUGAGGUUUGUUUUAUGGGCCCUUUUGUUCCUGCUGAUUGGUGUGCCGAUUAUAAUCAUAUAUGUACAUGGCCAGAAGGUACUUAGAGAAGAGUGUGCAUCAAUAUGAAGUGUUGUCCUACUCUUCUAACUAAGGAUCAGGUACAAGAAGCAGCAAAGUACAUUAAAGGCCGAGAAGUACAGUAGUAGUUACAUUACCAAUACGAAUUUAUCUUUGACUUGAAACUCUGAAUCUUUUCUAAAGAUGAAUCGAUGGUAUUGCAAUUUAUCUCUGCCUUUUUCCAAUGGAUGCAUGUCCAUCCCCUGUUUCUCAAUUGUGUGUUUUCUUACUUAGUCAAGAAACAUCUUAAUUUGAUGGCAGGCAUGCUGAAGAAUAUUUGAAUAUAUAAAUGCUUCCUUCUUUUGAAUAACCCGGUUCCCUUUUCCUAGAUCAAGAAACAUCUUAAUUUCUCAGCCUCCAUGGACACGGCCGAGAUCCUUGACCAUUGCUCAUCGGGACAUGUGCCAUAUAGCAAUAAAAAACAGCGUUUAGCUAUUCAGGUAAACCAGAAAUUCGUGUAAUUGCAUCACACAGUAGACUGUGAAUCCCAGGCAGAAUGAUCUUUGAUGUUAUGAUGGACCCACGUGAUGUACUGCUACUAAGUGAAUUUUCGGUCAGAGUAGCUCUAAUAUCAUGUAGCUUCAGUCAGAGUUUUCCGGUCCAGUACUUGCCAGGGAAUACUUACCUUGCCAUUUGGUGUGAUUAUGUGCUCUUAUGGGGCUGGUUUUGUACUGAGCCAUUACUAUUAUAUGUGUUUUGCUUCCUCCUGCUUUCCUUUCAGGAAGUAUUAUUUUCAUUUUCAUAUAGGGCCUUUAAGAUAGGAUUCCAUAAUUGUUCAUGUUCAUUCCAUAUACUAAUAUAUGAUGUUUUUUUAUAUUAUGUACUGCAUUUUGAACUUGCUAUAGCUGAGACUGGACCGAACUUGCUGUAUUGCAGUUGGCCCGGGAUCUGAGCGCAUCUGUUGCAUUCGUUGUUCGUCGUCCAGUUGGCCGUAG
rnacentral:lncRNA from 1 species